rnacentral:rRNA from 1 species
CAGCCGUAAACAAUGUGCGUUAGGUGUGUCGGUAACCACGUGUUACUGAUGCGCCGAAGAGAAAUCGUGAAACGCACCACCUGGGAAGUACGGUCGCAAGGCUGAAACUUAAAGGAAUUGGCGGGGGAGCACCACAACAGGUGGAGCCUGCGGUUUAAUUGGACUCAACGCCGGGAAGCUCACCGGAUAGGACAGCAGAAUGAUUGCCGGGCUGAAGACUCUGCAUGACUAGCUGAGAGGAGGUGCAUGGCGUAGACGUCU